GAAUGAUUUUUUUUUAUUAUUAUUAUUAUUUUUUUUUGACAAUGUCUGCCGUUAAACCCUGUAGAUCACCCCAUGUGAGUGAUGAAGAGAGGUCCACGAUUUGGGUUAUUCCAUGCUUGGAAGAAGAAACAGAAAAAGAAAUAAAUAUAGUGAUAAUUUGAUUCUUUGUCGUCGCAGUAAAUAGGAGGAAAAAAUGGAAUGUCUUUCCUUGUCUUCCAAAUCAUUUCUAUUUUGUAAAUUUUGAAAACUAAAUUUAAUUUACAUUCAUGUUAUAUGAUUUGCUGCUGGGAUUACUGUAUUUUUGUUUAAGUUUCAAGUCACUGUAAAUUCUUUGUUGGUGGAGACUGGAGAGGGUAUAAUCAAGGAUUUUAAUUGGGAGUGUAAUAAACUAAUAUUUCCAUGAAAUUAUGAUAGAAAUAACGAAUCCAGCUCUUAUUUUUCCUCUUCUGUUCCUUCUUUUUUUCCAAUUUAGGAUAAGAUUGAGGAGAAGAGAGUUGAUGUUAGAUGAGGGAGAAGAGGAGAAGUCCAAUACUUUGUGAAGAGUGUGGUGCGAGCUUAAGAAACCCCCACAUGUGAAGCAUAUGCAAAGACAUUUGCUUGAGGUAUUCUCUGCUACUGCCACUUACCUUACUAAAUCCCUUGCUUUCAUCUUUUCUGUUUCUAUUUUAUUUAAUUUUUCUGUGUAAGUUUUAGCUUCUUAACCCAAUUUGAAAUUCCUGAUAAAUGACUUGAUGAUGUGCUCAGCUUCAAGAGAUUGAACCUUUCUGGCUCGGAAUGGCUAAUCACCGAGUCUGUUUCGAUGUUCUUUUCUUUAACCCUGUUUUCCUUUGUGGGUUUCGAUCGUUGGCGCUUGGUAGUGACAGAUCAAUGCCAGGCUUUGUUUAAUUCUAUGGUGUUAGAUUUUUUAUGAAUCUUUCGGUUAUAUUCUACCUUUUAACUGCCAAUGAUUUAUUGAAGAGUGAAUUUGGUCCCUUUGAAGUAGAAGGAAAUAGUUUUGAAUUUUGUGGAGUGGUAGUUUAGUUGAGGGUAGAGGGCAGACCUUGGCGCAACAGUAAGGUUGCUCCAUUGCUGAGUGGUCGCAGGUUCGAGUUAGGAAACAGUCUCUCUGCAAAGUGGAGGUAAGGCUGUGUACAUUAUGACCCUCCCAAAUUCUGCAUUGGCGGAAGCCUCGUGCACUGAUAACACCUUUUUUGGUUGUUUAGUUGAAGUAAUGCUUGGAUUCUUCUUUUACUUUUAUAGUUGUGUGGUGCAACAUAUUAAAACCAGGUUUGGGGGAGAUAUGCCUUGUUGCUGCGCAUUAUUUACUAAUGCAGUCUAUGUGAUGGAAUGAUCUACUCAAGCGUCUUGCGUUUUUAUAUGACCAAUUCAAUUGAAAAAAAAGUAACCUAAAAGCUGUCUAGCUCAGACAUGGCCAUGAGGUUUGAAGUUUUUCAAAUGAAAUUGAUUGGCAAGUUGAACAAGGUUGUAUAUAUUCCAUAACUGCGUGCUUGGUAGAACAACAGUACUGUUUGAGUAGAAGUAGUUUUGGCAAUAGGACUUGUUAUUUAUUUGUUUGUUUUUGGAAAUCCUGUUGCUUUCUCUAAGCAUUGAGCUGGUAUUUUGGUGUCCAUAUAGAUUUAAGGAGUUUCAAUCUUGCAGGGUUUAGGUCUCUCUCUUCCCCACCCCUCUCUUUUUUCUCUUAAUACAUUUUCUAGUGAUUAAGAUAUUGCGGAAACUAGUGGAUGGAUACAGUGUGAAGCAUUGGUCCCAUUUGAAGAACUCCAAAAUGCAAGAGGUUUUGUAGACUUAAUCUUGAAUGGACCAGUACCAGGUGGGGGGGACCUCCUGAGAAGAGAAGAUAUCUCCAUCAAGCAAGCCUCAGUCAUGCACAGUCUCACUUGUAAUGAUUUUAAGAUUUGUUCAUUUGUUCUGCAAAGGAUGUUUACUAACCGACUAGAUGGCUGCCCAUCAUUCUACAGGAGAAAUGAUCACUUGACCCAUCACCUGCUCCAGCACCAAGGGAAGAGUUUUCAAUUGUCUUGUAGAUAAAUGCACUCGUAGGUCUGCAUUUCAAGGUAACAUGAAGUGACAUGUGAGGGAGAUUCAUGAUGAACAAGAGUCUUCCUCCUGUGAUACCGGGGGUCGAAAGAAACAGGUUUUCAAGGACUGUGGAAAGGUGUUUGAAUUUGCAUCAAAGCUGUGGAAACAUGAGGAUUCCCAUGAAAUCAAAUUUAAAUCAAGACAUAAAGGCAGCACAACUUGAGGUCAGACCAUUUGCCUGCUGAAUACAUUACAUGGUUACUCUCUGGAGUAUGUUAUGAGAUAUGCAAUUGUUGUUUAAUAGGAAAUUGUAUGCUGUAGAAUGGCUAGUAAUUUGAGCAAUCUUGAUGCACAGUGCGGCUGUUGCUCCUUUUUUACGAAAGCAGGUGGCUUUACAGUAGUAGUUGCAGCUUAGUUAGAGAUGGUGGUACCCUUUAAGGUUCUAACAAUUGAUAAAUCAGUUGGUAGAGUUGGAUUCUGAUGCAGGUAACAUGUGCUCAUAAUCUUGAUAACUCUUCUAGCUGUUUCAGUUCUAUACUGUGGCAGUAUAUAUUGAUGCCUAAACUUUGAAGACAUGUCCAUAUCACAUUCUUGUUGAUUUUUAGACUAAUCAGUCAUUACCAUGUAUUGAAAUAUGUUUUGAAAUUCAUUUUA